UUAACACAUGCAAGUCGAACGAAGCAAUAAGCGGAAGUUUCGGAUGGAAGCUAAUUGACUUAGUGGCGGACGGGUGAGUAACCCGUGGGUAACCUGCCUUAUACUGGGGGAUAACAGUUGGAAACGACUGCUAAUACCGCAUAAUAAAGAAUAUCGCAUGAUUUUCUUUUGAAAAUAUUUAUAGGUAUAAGAUGGACCCGCGUCUGAUUAGCUAGUUGGUGAGGUAACUGCUCACCAAGGCGACGAUCAGUAGCCGGCUUGAGAGAGUGACCGGCCACAUUGGGACUGAGACACGGCCCAAACUCCUACGGGAGGCAGCAGUGGGGAAUAUUGCACAAUGGGGGAAACCCUGAUUGCAGCGACGCCGCGUGAGUGAAGAAGUAUUUCGGUAUGUAAAGCUCUAUCAGCAGGGAAGAUAAUGACGGUACCUGACUAAGAAGCCCCGGCUAACUACGUGCCAGCCGCCGC
rnacentral:rRNA from 1 species